rnacentral:lncRNA from 1 species
CAAUUCUCCUGCCUCAGCCUCCUGAGUAGCUGGGAUUACAGCUGGAUCUACCAUGAAAGACUUCUGAAUCCAGGAAAAGAGACUGACUGGGUAACAUGUUAUUCAGGAGAUGGGGUCUCACCCUGUCACCCAGGCUUGAGUACAGUAGUGCUAUCACAGCUCACUGCAGCCUUGAACUCCUGGGCUAAGGAUCCUCCUACUUGAGCCUCCUGAGUAGCUGGGACUGUAGGGUCUCCCUCUCUUUUCCAAGGCUGGAGUGUAGUAGUGCUAUCACAGCUGACUGCAGCCUCAACCUUCCAGGCUGAAGCGAUCCUCCCAUCUCAACCUCCCACGUGGCUGAGACUAUAGGUGCUUGCCACUAUGCCCAACUAAUAUUUGGAAUUUUCCUAUACAUGGAUUCCAGAGGGGUGACAGCAAAACGUGGGACCAUCCAGUUGCAGGAAAACAAGCUUAACACGCCCACUGAUUCUACA